AGACUGAUGGACACACAGACAGAUUUCUGCGCAGGCAGACAGGCAGUGCAUCAUACACAUAAUACAGACGAAUGAUUCCGAAUUCGAGGAGAAUUCAAUGCCGUUCUUUGCAGCGUUUAUCAUAUCGGAGACAGCGAGGAGGAGACGAAGCUAUUGCUGUGAGGCGCCACAGGGGACGAAAUGGAAGACAGAUCGAGACAGUUGAUCUCUACAAACAGAAGCAGGCUUCUGAAAGCCCCUCACGUGCUCAGCGCCGCAGCAAUUCCUUGACCUCUGGAGGUCGCAGUGGGUCUGUUGAAGACAGAAAUACACUAGAUUCCAAGCCUCACGCUACAACUGCCAAAAGAAAAGUUCAAUCAGAAAACUCAGAAAAUCAGAUGGGAAAGACCGAACAGACAAGUUCCUAUGAUUCAAAACGAACUCGGUCAGCUAAAGUUCCUGCUGGUAAAGAAACACUUCCAGAAUCUGGCGGAUGUCCGACGCCAGGCUGUAGUGGUCAAGGUCACAUUACAGGAAAACAUGCCCGGCAUCGAACUGUUCAAGCAUGUCCAAUCGCUGCAGCAGCAAAAAAGCGAAAACUUGAGAAAGAAGAAGAAGAAGAGGAGGAAGAAGCCGCUCAUCAUUCCGUAAAGCGGAGUCGUAAACGGCAGCAGACAUCAGCAACAGCGACAGCUACAACAGCAGCAGCAGCAACAGCAACAACAACAGCAACAAAAACAACUACUACCACGACAUCGGCAGCAGCAGGGAGAAGCAGCACAUCACGGACGAGUGAAGAGGACGACGACGAGGACGAGGAGGAAGACGAAGAAGGAGUGGAAGAGGAAGAGGAGGAAGAAGAAGCCGAAGAAGAAGAAGAAGAAGAAGAAGAAAGAGGUAGAGGGAGAGGAGAGGUGGAAAGGAAGAAAGCCGAAGCAGCUGUACCGGAGGGAGAGGCUGCUUCCCAAGGAAAGGAAAAGAACAAGGGGAAACACACUGCAAGUGGUAGUGGUGGCAGCGGUAGUGGUGGUGGUGGUGGUGGCAGUGGCGGAAGUAGUAGUGGUAGUGGCCGCUCAAAGGAAAAACCUCUCUCGGCUCUUUCGACAUCUUCUGCGUCGUCUACGUCUACAUCGGCAUCGAGUUCGACUUCUUCGAAAGCGAGCGUCGCUAGUUCUCUCAAAGACAGUCACAGUAAGGGAACACCCACUACGAGCGAAAGCACCGAAGACACCAAAGGAAAUGCAACGGCCGCAUCGACAGCAACAACGGCUCCUGCCACCACUUCCAUUUCUACUUCUGCUACUAGCACUACAAACACCGAGGCCAGCUGCAGCAAUGAUAAAACGCCCCUCGGGUUAGGGUUUGGUCUUGGACUUCAACUAGGCCUAGGUCUUGGUCUCGAUGUGAACGUUUCCACUGCUGCUUCUUCAGAGGUGACUUCCACUGCAGUUUCCGCAGUGACCGCGGCUACUCUGGCCGUGUCUACGAAGCUGUUAUCGUGCAGCAACAGCAGCAGUAGUGGCAGUGGUAGUGGUGGUGGUGGUGUUGUUGGUGGUGGCAGCAGUGGCGGUCAAGUUAGUGGAGCAUCGACAGCCACGGCGGAGAUUGAUGACGAACAGAAGUGCUUCCAAGAGGCUGAGCGAGCGCUGCGCAGUUUGUCGGGGGAGUAUGAUGAAACGGCAGAGGAGAGCUACUACUAUUCGACGAGGAGAAAGUCAGCAGCCCAGCGUCGUGGAACCACGAGUGACGAUGACAACAGCAACCAUGCCAGCAGCCGGGAGAGCAGUGCUGUGGGUGGGACGGGACCGAGAAGGAAGAAGAAGAAAAAAAAGAAGAAAAGAAAGAAGAAGGAAGGAGAAGAAAUGGGAGAGGAGGAAGCUGACGAGAUGGAAGAGGAGGACGAAGAGGAUGAGGAAGAUGAAGAGGUUGCUGCUUCCGAGGAAGGUACGGUUGGCAGAAGGCGACAGCAGGAGGAGGAUGUAGAAGAAGAAGGAGAGACGGGUGAAGGUGUCGGCAGUAGCAGCGGAAACAAGAGAGGAGGAGCAGGAAGUCGGAGAGGAAAAGUGGGAGGAGGCCGCUCAGGGUCAAGUAACACACGAAGCGGUGGAGCAACUUCACGUACCAGUUCUGUCACCACACGGGAAGUUUCUCGCCGCCAACCUGCUGCUUCAUCUUCUGGCUCAUCCAGCGCCUUCCCUCAUUCUUCCUCCUCUUCGUCGUCAUCAUCAACGGCCAUACCUGCAAAGAAAGACGGUGGUGGCGGCGUCUCCAAUGAUGUUGGCGAUGGAGGAGGCGGUGACGCUGAAACGCUAUCGUCAUCGUACCGGGAUGAGACCCAGUCAUCGCAAGGCAGCACGGGUGGAGGUGGUAGCACUGCUGCAAACAAUGGGAAUGGCGAUGAAUCCUCGGGCUCAGUUUCAAGUUCAGGAAAGUAUCCUCAGAGCCAGGUGGGUGUGGUGUCAUCCGACGAUGACGCUGAAAUCCUGCUGAAGAUCGAGCAGCAGUGUGCGAGUAUCCAGUCUGGAGCGACCUCCUGUUGCUCAGCAGAAAGUGAGUGCAACAGCGAGGCAGAAGCAGAGGCUGAAGUGGAGGCAGAGGCAGGGACAGGAGCAGAAGUCGACGAAGAACAUGAUGAAAUCAUGGACAUUCCAGAGUCGGUUGAAGGAGAGGAAGAAGACGAAGAGGAGGAGGAAGACGAAGAGGAAGAAGAAGAGGAGGAAGAAGAGGAAAUAGAAGACCUGGAAGAGUUGGAAAUGGCUGGAGAAGUGGAAGAAGAAGAGGAGGAGGAGGAAGAAGAAGAAGAGGAAGAGGAGGAAGGCGAAGAGGAAGAGGAGGAAGAUGAGUGUUGUGUUCUGAGAGGGGCGGAUGAAGAGGAGAUGGAGGAAGAUGAAGAGGAAGAAGAAGAUGAGGAAGAAGAGGAAGAUGAAGGCGAUGGGGGAGAUAAUGUUGAAAGUGGCUCACAGCGAGUGCAAAUGGGAUUAGGACUGGGGCAUGAUGGGAAGGCAUAUGCUCCGGUUGCCACAAAGGAGAAGCCACCAGUGGUGUCACCCGUGGAGCAUCUCCACCACCCGCAUCCUCAUCAUCAUCAGCAGCAGCAACAGCACCUCCAUGCCUCUGCUCACCAUCACCCACACCACCAAGAGCAACAACACCAACACCACCAGCAGCAUCACCACCAACAACAGCAGCAGCAACAUCAUCAUCAUCAACAACAGCAACAUCAUCAACUCCAACAACACAACCACCAACACCAUCACCACCACAACAUCAACAACAAUAACAACAGCAACAACAACAGCAGGAUUACGACCACCACCCUAGCGGCUGGUGCCAUGCCAAGCGACUGCAUCUACACGGAGGACAGUCUCAUGGCUACGACGGCAGCGACAACGACGUCUUCCUCAACGUCGAGUCCAUCGACGGUGGCCGGAGGAGUCAUCGGUUUGCCAUCCCCUGUCAACGUCCGGUCGCCGCCGCCGUCCCAUCAUCACCACCAUCAUCAUCACCAUCAUCAUCAACAGCAGCAACAGCAGCACCACCACUCUCCGUUGCCAGCAGCAACGCUCAGCCCGAACGCCGCCUCCAGCAGUGGUGGUGGUGGUGGUGGUGGUGGUGGCGGUGGAGGUGGUGGUGGAGGUGGUGGUGUUGGUGGUGGUGUUGGUGGUGGUGGUGGUGGCGGCGGCGGCAGUGCCGCUGUGGCGAACAGUGGCAUCGUCUCGACCACCACCGUCGAUAUGAUGUGCUCGACGACAGGCAGCCUUUCCCCGCACACACACCUCCAGCCACAUCCUCAUCCCCACCAACACUAUAGCAACACUGGUAGCAGUAACAACAACAACAAUAAUAAUCGUCAUCAUCAUCACCACCACCAUCAACAACAACAACAACAGCACCAGCAUCCAUCACUCUCACCGCAACGGCGGCGAGGCCUGACCAACACGAACAACAACAACAACAGCAAUAACAAUAACACCAGUAACAGCGCUAGCAGCAACAGCAGCAGUGCGGCUGCAGCAGCUGCUGCUGCUGCUGCAGCCGCCGCCGCUGCGAUGAUGACGAUGUCGUCUUCACCAUCAGCUUCACUAGCUUCCGCAACACACAACCUCUCCAAUACCACCGCCAACAACAAUAACAAUAGCAACAACAACAGCAGCAGCGAAGUGAUGGAAAUGCAGAUGGGGUCAGCAGGGAUGGCCAUGGAUGGCGUUGUGGGUGUAGGGCUUCACCACCAGCAGCAGCAGCACCAGCAGCAGCAACAAGCAGGCAUGGGUGGCGACCCCGAUUACAUGGUGGUCACCGAUUGGGCUACCGCUGGCAGCAACACUACUCCUGUUGCCCCACCCUCAGUAUCGUCAUGUUCCUCUCCUUGUUCCUCCCCCUCGGUUACCGGUGCGACCCCACCGUCUUCGUCGGUGACCAUGACGACGACGGCGGCGGCAGGAGUGGUAGCCACCACCACAGCCCAUGCGACGAUGGGCAACAGCUCAGUGAUAAGCACCCUGGUGCAAGCUCCUGUUAAUUCAGCAGUCGGAGUCAGAGUGAGCAGUGACUACGAUGUAUACAGCGAUGACGGCGGCCAAGAACUAAUUAAUGUUGUCACUGACAGCAACAACAACAGCAACCUCGACAUCGCCAACACCAAGAGACUGCCAGAUGAGCCCUCUGUCACUACAAGUGGAACACACGACAUCGGGUCAGGUGUCAUGAAAGAUAGUAAAUGUCCAACUCCAGGCUGUGAUGGCAUUGGUCAUGUUACUGGACUUUAUUCUCAUCAUAGAAGCUUGUCUGGAUGCCCAAGAAAGGACAAGGUAUCCCCUGAAGUUCUUGCACUCCAGGACCACAUUCUACGAUGUCCGACACCAGGUUGUAAUGGAAGAGGCCAUGUGAACAGUAACAGGAACUCUCAUAGAAGUUUGUCUGGCUGUCCUAUUGCAGCUAUGGGCAAAAUCAUGAACACGCAAAGUAACAAAAAAUCAGGCCUUCACCUUGUGCUCAUUCCAAAGUAUGAUGACCCUUCUAAGGCCGUGCUUGCUGCCUGCACUGAGACUGACCUGCUCCGAUUGGCUGCACAAGAGGUCAAGUCGGAUAUUCUUGCAAGCAAAAGAGAUGAAUCUAAAAAUAUGGCUCCCUAUGAUGCUGAUUCUUCUCGCAUCUCUCAGAACCGAUGGUUGCCAGACGGAGAGAAAGCUCUCUACAUGUCAACCACCAUUGGAAAGUUCCAUUCAACCACUACUACCACCACCACCACUACUACCACCAACACCACCAUCACCUCUACCACCACCACUAAAGGUACCACGAUUUCCAGCCCCGUGAAUACCGGCCAGGAAGUAGAUACACGUUCCGACCGUGUACUUCGACCAAUGAUAUUGACUAAACAGCUUGAUCUCCCUUGCUAUGAAUAUCCUCCAUAUGUGUCCACCUCUACACCACGCACCAAUCUAGCCAAAGAACUCGAGAAAUACAACCGGCCACCCACUGAAUUCCAAACAUAUCAAUCAAAACUCUAUCCCGGCAAACCCAUUGCUCCCAAACCGAAAGACUCAAGCAUUGAUCGACCAAACAUCUUGAGCAAACGGCCAAACUACAAACCGCAGUAUCGAUAUGAUCCUCAAGUCCCUGUUGCCCUUAACCUCUCCACAAAAGCAGCGGCGGCGGCAGCUGCAGCAGCUGCUGCUUCCACAACCGCUUCCACGACUAAUACAGUGAACUGUGUGACAAACGGCUCCGGGCUGGACCUCACCAUGAAACCAAUGCCUGGCGCAUCAGUGGGCGGGGUACCAGCUUCGACGUCGGUGAAUGUCCCUGCAGGACUGACGACGACGGCCACCACGACCAUUGCCAGCAUCACGACCACGACGUCGCUACCAGGCGGCAACAUGCCACUGACGAGCCGCAACAACACCAGCAACGGCAGUACUAACAGCAGCAGCCCCGGCAAUUGUGCAAUUGCUAUUGCUGCCGCCACUGCUGCUGCUGCUGCUGCCGCCGCCGCUGCCAGUGGUGGUGGUGGUGGUGGUGGUGGUGGCAGUGGCAGUGGUGGUGGUGGUGGUGCUGCUGGUGGUGUCGGCGGCGGUGGUGGUGCAGGUACUGGUCUCAUGGAAACAGCAAACGUCAACGUCAUGCAGCAACAGCAGCAACAACAACAGCAACAGCAGCAGCAACAACAACAGCAACAACAACUCCAACAACAACAGCACCCACACCAAAACCACCACCAUCAACAACAACAACAACAGCAUCAGCAACAACCACCUCCACCACCGCCACCACCCCCACAUCAACAUCAACAACAACAAUCACCACAUCAUCAACAACAACAGCAACAACAUCAGCAGCAGCAGCAGCAGCAACCCCAACACACUGUACACCAGGUGUCUCAGCCUGAUACAGGGACCUUAUCUUCUCAUCAAACACACCAUCAUCAGCAGCAGCAGCCUGAUGACCUUAUGGUUUCCUCUUCCCCAUCAGCACUUUCAGUUGUCACAUCCAUACCUGCCUCACUUUCAUCGCCACCUUUGAACACUGCUAUAUCAUCAUCAUCAUCAUCAUCAAAAGGAGAUUACAAUGGCUUGCCUGUAUCACCAGUAAAUGUUCCUGCCUUGGAGAAAACAGUCUGUGUCAAUGGAAUAGCAAGUCCGAAAAGUCCAAGUUCGUUGAGCAAGGCAUCUCCAAUAAGCAGCACACCACCGCGAACAUCACGUGAAGGGCGAGAAUUAAUUCAUUGCCCAACCCCUGGAUGCGACGGCAGUGGACAUGUCUCAGGAAAUUAUGCAUCUCAUCGAAGUUUGUCUGGCUGUCCGCUUGCGGAUCGAGCAACGGUACUUGCUAGCCAUGUUGAACAAAAAUGUCCCACCCCAGGCUGUGACGGCUCAGGACAUAUUACGGGCAAUUAUUCCUCCCACCGCAGUCUGUCGGGCUGCCCUCGGGCAGCCAAGUUAAAGAAAAUUCUUGGAAAAGAUGGUGAACGCAAAGACGACGAACCACUGAGUGCAUCAGGUUGUCCGUUGGCAAACAAACACAAACUCCAACGCCAUCUGGUGCCUGUAGCUGGAGGUGGCAGUCUUGGAGGUAGUGUCAGUGUUGGUGGUGGCGACCAGUCUUCAAACGACUCGGUCAUGAUGGGCAACAACAAUACAACAGCAACAACCGGCCUGUGAAGAUGGAUGCUAUUGUACAACUUGAUUACGAUGGGGUUGACCUGAAAUACAGAUGCCCAACACCAGGCUGUGAUGGCUCUGGACACGCAAAUGGCAGUUUCCUUUCUCAUCGAAGUCUAUCAGGUUGCCCAAGGGCAACCCAAGCUAUGAAAAAGGCA
rnacentral:misc_RNA from 1 species